AUUGAACGCUGGCGGCAGGCCUAACACAUGCAAGUCGAACGAGUGGCGGACGGGUGAGUAAUGUCUGGGAAACUGCCUGAUGGAGGGGGAUAACUACUGGACACGGUAGCUAAUACCGCAUACCAUCGGAUGUGCCCAGAGGGGAUUACCUAGUAGGUGGGGUAAAGGCUCACCUAGGCGACGAGCCCUAGCUGGUCUGAGAGGAUGACAAGCCACACUGGAACUGAGACACGGUCCAGACUCCUACGGGAGGCAGCAGUGGGGAAUAUUGCACAAUGGGGGCAAGCCUGAUGCAGCCAUGCCGCGGGUAUGAAGAAGGCCUUCGGGUUGUAAAGUACUUUCAGCGGGGAGGCGUUACCAACAGAAUAAGCACCGGCAAACUUCGUGCCAGCAGCCGCGGUAAUAC
rnacentral:rRNA from 1 species